UACGUAGGGGGCAAGCGUUGUCCGGAAUUAUUGGGCGUAAAGAGCGCGUAGGCGGUCCGGUAAGUCGGUUGUGAAAGUCGGGGGCUCAACCCUCGGAUGCCGAUCGAUACUGUCGGGCUAGAGUCCGGAAGAGGCGAGUGGAAUUCCUGGUGUAGCGGUGAAAUGCGGCAGAUAUCAGGAGGAACACCAAUGGCGAAGGCAGCUCGCUGGGACGGUACUGACGCUGAGGCGCGAAAGCGUGGGGAGCAAACAGG
rnacentral:rRNA from 1 species